GAUUGAACGCUGGCGGCAGGCUUAACACAUGCAAGUCGAACGCGAAAGGCUCUUCGGAGCUGAGUAGAGUGGCGGACGGGGGAGUAAAGCUAGGAAUCUACCUAGUAGUGGGGGACAACAUGGUGAAAACCAUGCUAAUACCGCAUACGCCCUACGGGGGAAAGCGGGGGAUCUUCGGACCUCGUGCUAUUAGAUGAGCCUGCGUUAGAUUAGCUAGUUGGUGGGGUAAAGGCCUACCAAGUCUACGAUCUUUAGCUGGUUUUAGAGGAUGAUCAGCAACACUGGGACUGAGAUACGGCCCAGACUCCUACGGGAGGCAGCAGUGGGGAAUCUUGGACAAUGGGCGCAAGCCUGAUCUAGCCAUCCCGCGUGAGUGAUGAAGGCCCUUGGGUCGUAAAGCUCUGUCAGUAGGGAGGAAAAGGUAGUCGUUACUAACGGCAUUGUAUUGACGGUACCUGUAGAGGAAGCACCGGCUAACUCCGUGCCAGCAGCCGCGGUAAUACGGGGGGUGCAAGCGUUAUUCGGAAUUAUUGGGCGUAAAGCGCGCGUAGGCGGCCUGAUAAGUUGGAUGUGAAAGCCCUGGGCUCAACCUAGGAACUGCAUUCAAAACUGUCAGGCUAGAGUAUGGUAGAGGAUAGUGGAAUUUCCGGUGUAGCGGUGAAAUGCGUAGAGAUCGGAAGGAACAUCAGUGGCGAAGGCGGCUAUCUGGACCAAUACUGACGCUGAGGUGCGAAAGCGUGGGGAGCAAACAGGAUUAGAUACCCUGGUAGUCCACGCCGUAAACGAUGUCAACUAGCCGUUGGGGGGCUUGUCCCCUUAGUGGCGCAGCUAACGCGAUAAGUUGACCGCCUGGGGAGUACGGCCGCAAGGUUAAAACUCAAAUGAAUUGACGGGGGCCCGCACAAGCGGUGGAGCAUGUGGUUUAAUUCGAUGCAACGCGAAGAACCUUACCUACCCUUGACAUCCAGAGAAUCUGUUAGAGAUAGUAGAGUGCCUUCGGGAAUUCUGUGACAGGUGCUGCAUGGCUGUCGUCAGCUCGUGUCGUGAGAUGUUGGGUUAAGUCCCGUAACGAGCGCAACCCUUGUCCUUAGUUGCUAGCACGUAUGGUGGGAACUUUAAGGAGACUGCCGGUGACAAACCGGAGGAAGGAGGGGACGACGUCAAGUCAUCAUGGCCCUUACGACCUGGGCUACACACGUGCUACAAUGGGAGGUACAGAGGGACGCGAAGCCGCGAGGGGUAGCCAAUCCCAGAAAGCCGGUCGUAGUUCGGAUUGGAGUCUGCAACUCGACUCCAUGAAGCCGGAAUCGCUAGUCAUCGCGAAUCAGAAUGUCGCGGUGAAUACGUUCCCGGGCCUUGUACACACCGCCCGUCACACCAUGGGAGUGGAUUGCACCAGAAGUAGUUAGUCUAACCUUCGGGAGGACGAUUACCACGGUGUGGUCGAUGACUGGGGUGAA
rnacentral:rRNA from 1 species